rnacentral:lncRNA from 1 species
CUAUAGGCCAAACAGAGAGCUAACAAUGCCGCUGUCACAAUCAGCCUGGUCUUGCCUGCUGACAGGGCAGGCUAGUCUAUGAAUCAGAUCUAGGGACAAACCACUGGCUGCAGUCGUGGCCUCCUGCUCCUUGCAACAUGGUGCUAGGCUGAGUCAUAAGAAAAAAUAGGAGGAUCUAGGGUUUUGAGAUCUGCAAAGGAAAAGCAGAUAAGA